rnacentral:rRNA from 1 species
UACGGAAGGCAGCAGUGGGGAAUAUUGCACAAUGGGCGCAAGCCUGAUGCAGCCAUGCCGCGUGUAUGAAGAAGGCCUUCGGGUUGUAAAGUACUUUCAGCGGGGAGGAAGGCGAUGUGGUUAAUAACCGCGUCGAUUGACGUUACCCGCAGAAGAAGCACCGGCUAACUCCGUGCCAGCAGCCGCGGUAAUACGGAGGGUGCAAGCGUUAAUCGGAAUUACUGGGCGUAAAGCGCACGCAGGCGGUCUGUUAAGUCAGAUGUGAAAUCCCCGGGCUUAACCUGGGAACUGCAUUUUGAAACUGGCAGGCUUGAGUCUCGUAGAGGGGGUAGAAUUCCAGGUGUAGCGGUGAAAUGCGUAGAGAUCUGGAGGAAUACCGGUGGCGAAGGCGGCCCCUGGACGAAGACUGACGCUCAGGGUGCGAAAGCGUGGGGAGCGAAACAGGGAUUAGGAUA